UAGUCCACGCCGUAAACGAUGGAUACUAGCUGUCCGCUGCCUUGAGCAGUGGGCGGCCAAGCGAAAGUGAUAAGUAUCCCACCUGGGGAGUACGUUCGCAAGAAUGAAACUCAAAGGAAUUGACGGGGGCCCGCACAAGCGGUGGAGCAUGUGGUUUAAUUCGAUGAUACGCGAGGAACCUUACCAGGGCUUAAAUGCAUAAUGACAGGUUUAGAGAUAGACUUUCUUCGGACAUUUUGCAAGGUGCUGCAUGGUUGUCGUCAGCUCGUGCCGUGAGGUGUCAGGUUAAGUCCUAUAACGAGCGCAACCCCUACCGUUAGUUGCCAGCAUGUAAAGAUGGGGACUCUAACGGGACUGCCGGUGCAAACCGUGAGGAAGGUGGGGAUGACGUCAAAUCAUCACGGGCCCUUACGUCCUGGGGCUACACACGUGCUACAAUGGUAGGGGACAGAGAGCAGCCACUUCGCGAGAAGGGAGCGAAUCUAUAAACCCUAUCACAGUUCGGGA
rnacentral:rRNA from 1 species